rnacentral:rRNA from 1 species
AACGAACGCUGGCGGCAUGCCUAACACAUGCAAGUCGAACGAAGCCUUCGGGCUUAGUGGCGCACGGGUGCGUAACGCGUGGGAAUCUGCCCUUGGUUCGGAAUAACAGUUAGAAAUGACUGCUAAUACCGAAUGAUGUCUUCGGACCAAAGAUUUAUCGCCCAAGGAUGAGCCCGCGUCGGAUUAGCUAGUUGGUGAGGUAAAGGCUCACCAAGGCGACGAUCCGUAGCUGGUCUGAGAGGAUGACCAGCCACACUGGGACUGAGACACGGCCCAGACUCCUACGGGAGGCAGCAGUGGGGAAUAUUGCGCAAUGGGCGAAAGCCUGACGCAGCGACGCCGCGUGGGUGAUGAAGGCCU